AGUGAACGCUGGCGGUAGGCCUAACACAUGCAAGUCGAACGGCAGCACAGUAAGAGCUUGCUCUUACGGGUGGCGAGUGGCGGACGGGUGAGGAAUACAUCGGAAUCUACUUUUUCGUGGGGGAUAACGUAGGGAAACUUACGCUAAUACCGCAUACGACCUACGGGUGAAAGCAGGGGAUCUUCGGACCUUGCGCGAUUGAAUGAGCCGAUGUCGGAUUAGCUAGUUGGCGGGGUAAAGGCCCACCAAGGCGACGAUCCGUAGCUGGUCUGAGAGGAUGGUCAGCCACACUGGAACUGAGACAGGGUCCAGAGUCCUACGGGAGGCAGCAGUGGGGAAUAUUGGACAAUGGGCGCAAGCCUGAUCCAGCCAUACCGCGUGGGUGAAGAAGGCCUUCGGGUUGUAAAGCCCUUUUGUUGGGAAAGAAAAGCAGCAGGUUAAUACCCCGCUGUUCUGACGGUACCCAAAGAAGAAGCACCGGCUAACUUCGUG
rnacentral:rRNA from 1 species